rnacentral:lncRNA from 1 species
AACAAGAGGCGCUUCUGCGACGAGAGGAAGAGAUCGAAGGACUUCACCUUCGAUUUGCUGAAUAUGGACAUAAACAUCAAGAGGCGCUUCUGCGACGAGAGGAAGAGAUCCAAGGACUUCACCUUCGAUUUGCUGAAUAUGGACAUAAACAAGAAGAGGAGCGUCGGCGACGAGAGGAAGAGAUCAAAGCACUUCACCUUCAAUUUGCUGAAUAUGGACAUAAACAACAAGAGGCGCUUCUGCGACGAGAGGAAGAGAUCGAAGGACUUCACCUUCGAUUUGCUGAAUAUGGACAUAAACAUCAAGAGGCGCUUCUGCGACGAGAGGAAGAGAUCCAAGGACUUCACCUUCGAUUUGCUGAAUAUGGACAAAAACAAGAAGAGGAGCGUCGGCGACGAGAGGAAGAGAUCAAAGCACUUCACCUUCAAUUUGCUGAAUAUGGACAUAAACAACAAGAGGAGCAUCGGCGACGAGAGGAAGAGAUCCAAGGACUUCACCUUCAAUUUGCUGAAUAUGGACAUAAACAACAAGAGGAGCUUCGGCGACGAGAGGAAGAGAUCCAAGGACUUCAC